ACUCAAAUGAAUUGACGGGGACCCGCACAAGCGGUGGAGCAUGUGGUUUAAUUCGACGGUAAGCGAAGAACCUUACCUGGGCUUGAAAGAUAGCUGCAAGCCGCUGGAAACAGUGGCCGCCUUCGAGGGUGCUAUCUAGGUGCUGCAUGGUUGUCGUCAGCUCGUGGCGUGAGCUGUUCCCUUAAGUGGGGUAACGAGCGCAACCCUCGUCCUGCGUUAUUAUGUCGCAGGAGACUGCCUUCGCAAGAAGGAGGAAGGCGAGGAUGACGUCAAAUCAGCAUGGCCCUUACGUCCAGGGCUACACACGUGCUACAAUGGUCGGUACAAUGGGCUGCCAAAGCGCAAGCUGGAGCCAAUCCCACAAAGCCGACCCCAGUUCAGAUUGAAGGCUGCAACUCGCCUUCAUGAAGCCGGAAUCGCUAGUAACGGCCGAUCAGCUACGCGGCCGUGAAUACGUUCUCGGGUCUUGUACACACCGCCCGU
rnacentral:rRNA from 1 species